AUGGAAAACUCAUGCACCACACGCAGCAGCGUUGCAAUGCUCAACGCUACGGGUUUUGACGUGUACGAGUGUGGUCACAUACGGCCAGAAUUUCGUUCUCCCUUCAAAAUGAAGUUAAUUUUCGUUCUUCCUCUCAAACGAAUCCGAUCGACCGCAUUUUCAUUCUCCCACUUUGCUACUACCCUAGCUUCCCUCUCAAACGAAGUCGACCAGCUCCCUCCCAUGGAAGCGUUCACGCUGCCGUUGCUUCCCUCUCAAACGAAUGCCGUUCAACCGGUAUGUUAAGAUCAGAAGGAUUGCCCUCAUCAACUAUGGUGAAGAUUAUGGGAAGCUUGUUGUAAUCAUGGAUGUAAUCGGCCAGAACCGGACAAACUCUGGCUGAUGAUGUCUAUCAAUCCAUGUAUAUAUGGCUUAUACAUGGAAAGAUGAUGGUUCCGAAAUAAUGAAACUGGAUAAUAUUAGGUGGAGAACGAUCAUUUUCAACACUAUAUGCUUUGCUUUAGCAUUACAUGAAAUGACUGAAGCCCCAUUUCGAGCAAUGGAUGAGUUUGAUGUGUUUAUGGUGAGCUACUGUCUCAUUCUUGUCAUCCUUUUUUAUAUUUCAAGUAUAUUUCUGAUAUGGAUAGCCAAAGAAAAUGUUGUCUAAAACUUAUAUUUGAAACAUAAAAGUGUUGUGUCUUUUCACAAGCUUCCCAAUAAGCUUACAGGAUGAUGCAGUAAGUCGAAAAAUCAGCUUAGACACUUUUGUGGAUUUUGCAUUGGCACAAGGCUCCCAAUGGAUACUUAUCAUGCUGCAUGACAUUGGGUAAUUACAAAGAUAUUAAAUCUUUUGAGUUUCACUUGGUAUAGUUAAUGAUGUGAUCUUUAACUACACAUGCACAAAUUUCUCACUUCUUUUAAAACUAUGCACAAGUUCAUUUUCUGAUGAAGCAUUGAGACACUUUACGUUUGGAGAUCUAACUACAGCAUGGUAAAACAAGGAGAACGAAUCAAUAAGCAACAAAUGGCAGCUCUUCGAUCAUGACGUUCCUACUGGUGAGGGCUCAAUCUGUUCAACGAUCUCUGUAUGAUUCCCAUUUUUUUUUUGUUCCAAUAUAUUUUCAACUUAUUCACCCCUUUGGAUUAUUUACCCAUCUUUUGUGUAUAUUCUCCACGUUCAAACCAAUUGUAGAAUUAACAGUCAUAUCUAUGAGAAAGUAGAGAAGGACAAUUAAUAGAUGAAAGGCAAAGAAAUGGCUCUUUUUGUAUAGGUUUAAUGUAUAAUGUACUCAGCAUGGUUAGAAUAGAAGUGGCUAUUCUGGAAAACUCUGAGAUUAAUGUUUCUAUUUAUAUUUGUUGUUUCUUUUA